GUCCACUUAACAUUUCCAGGAUGGAUCUGCCCCACCCCUCUCCUCCGAGUCGAGUCAGAGCCCUUUUGGCCGCUGCCAUGGAAGCCUCUGCACAAUCCUAAAGUGCAGAGUUCCUGGAUCCAGAACAGUAAGAAGGGACCAAUCAGAUAGCAGAGAAAACUUAGCAGAGCAGACCCAUCCCCAAUAUUUUUCUCCUCCAUCACCAGAGAUCUUCAUUUUGUUUUACAGCUUAUUUUUGUUGUUAUUCAUUUGUUCUAUCCUACCAGUUUUUAAGUCAAUUGAGCUCUCUGAGGGGAAAAAGCCCUCAAACAACAACCAAUUACAUCUGGGAUGGUUAAAAGGCUAAUUCUGGAUUUUGUUCCCAUAUUAGAGUGAAUUAAUUCAAUUAGAUAGCUUUCCACUUUGCACCUGGCAGAGAACACUUAACAUGGAAGGAAUGAAUAUUUUGAUUGAGCUGAAGGGGAUAGUAGUAAUUUAAGAAAAGAAUGCUCUGGGGCAUGACAGGGCCAGGUGGGUAGUUGAGGACUGAUUACAUUUAUUCCUUCAAUAUUUAUUCAAAUAAGAUGAAGUGGUUACUAUGUGCAGCAUACUGUGAGAAGUUGAUUAUGGCAAAAGCUGUAAUCCCAGAUUGGUUUACAGUUUAGUAAGGGAAAUUAAACAUAUGUGAAACUAGACAACAAAGAAGGAUAUAUUGUCUUCUUUAAGAGAUAUAGUCUGUUGUGGGUGCUCAGAAAAGAGAGAGAGAGAGAGAUUACUUCCAGAUAGAUUAGGGAAUCAGUAGAGCUCUGGGGACCUGAUAUGAACCUUGAACUCCAGCUAAUCUACUAGGGUUGACAAUCUGGUAAAUUGGAAUGUCCAAGAUCUUGUCCUUAGUUACUCAGGACUUCCAGAGGCACUAAGUCAGCUAUCUGUGACAUUGCUCAGUCUGUAUGUGCAGACCAAAGAAUAAACAGGGAAAUCGCUCAGAUUCUUUCCAUCUUUAUAGCACCCCUGGUCUCCAGAGUAAAAAAAAGCAUAUGCAAAAGAAUGCCAAACGAGUAAUAAUCAUUUUCAACAUUAGACUUCACUCAGAAAACGGGUGGGUAAAUUUUUCUUCUUUUUUCUUUCUCUUUGGUGCACUAGAUAUCUUGCUGUUGCUAGGAUCACUGGUUAGUACACUUGGGAUAUAGUUCAGCAUCAUGGUCUAAACAGACUUGGAACCGCAACAUAAUUCAAAACAAUAUUCUUAUGGGGGAAAGGGUUCCAAGUUUUGGACAAUGAAUUUACAAGGUUUUUUUUUUUUUUUUUUUUUUUUUUGGGGGGGGGGAGGGAUGUGGAGGGAGAAGUAUUUUGUAAAUUGGGUAUUAUUGAAUAGCAUUCCAGGAAAUCUCAUCUGAGAGAAACAAAUACUGAAUCUCUAACACUUAAUAAUAAUAGUUGCUUAUACUAAAUUAUUAUUUUACAUAUUACAGAUAUAGCAUAUAUAUAAUAUAUUACAUUAUAUUAAAACUAUUUGGCUAUUGCACCCUGCAACCCCACCUUUCCCUCCCCCACUAAGUUGUAAUUCAAAAUCCAAACCUGUUCUUUGAGCCCUAUUUAAUUAGAAAAACUAGUAUAACCAAAAGUUGCAUGGGAGCACACAUGGAACAGCCACAUAUGACUCAGUGCUUGUGCUCUCUGGAGAUGAUGAGCCUCAGGCUUGUUCUAGCCUUGUCUGACUUAGCCUUGAAGGGUUUGCACAUGCAGAUGACAAAGCAACUGUCUUAUCUGCUGUUGAGCAAGAGACUGAUGAGUCACUGAACCUUUAUAAAGGGAGGAUCUCUGGCUCUGGCUGUUUUUUCUUCUCUCUGCUGAGGAUCACUUGGGACCGUUUAUGGUUAUGGGAAAGGUAGCUUGCCUCUUCCGUCUGCCAUUAACGUGGCAGAUAGAGGCAUUGUGCUCCUAAGUGAGCCUGGUCCUGAUUUGGGGGCUGCAUCUUCUCAGUUUCUUCUUGCCUGAUCUUGGGUUAAUGGGUAGUGACCUCAUGAUGGAGGCAUCCAAGCUUGGGGGCUAUUUUGUGAGUCUGAAAUUUUGAAGAAGCUAACUCCUUAGGGGGUAUCAGCUCUACUUUGUAAAGAAUAUUGGACAAUUGUUUGAGCUCUUUUGAAAGAAGGUGACCACCAGGCAAGAGAACAAACCCAAUGUUUGGCAUCGUUUCCCAGGAGAUGUCUGCUAUAAUGGGACUAUAGUGCAGAACUGAGAUGAUACAUAGAAGUGCUAUUUUACCAAGUGCUUUAUGAUGCAGUGUUUAUGGUUCAACCUCCUGAGAGAUGGUAAUCAUGCUUGUAAUAUGUUAUUGGUUACUUAAGUUUUGUCAAUGCAUUCUUCGAAUCUCUUAUGUCUUUUUAAAACAAUUUUCUUGUGUGUAGGAAAUACCCAUUCUAUACCCAAUUCAGUGUACAUCUUGAGAAUUGUACAAUAUUGAACAUUGAGCAUCUUGGGCAAGUCACAACUUCUGAAUAGAUUUCUUCAAUUGGAUUAAAUACAAAGACUUCAUUCCAGAAGAAAAGUUGGUCUGAGAAAGAGCAGUCCUCACUUGGAAGUAUCUAAUGGUGAAAAGAGUAAAUGGAUUAGAGCUGUCCCUGAAAUUCAAGAUUCUGAGCUUAAAAUCAUAUGUCUUGUGAUACCUUUAUGAAAGUCUGUGUCCUGAAGACUUUUUCAUACAUUUACACAACUUAUAAUAGUUAAUUUCUUUAAAACAUUUUAAUUGAUACUUUUAUGUUUUCAUUACAUUUCUCAUUUCCUGAUACAUUACCCCCCCCAUUAUCAACCCAUUUCUCUCUUUUUUAUAAGAAAAACACACAACUACUAAUUUCAUGUGAAAAUAAUUGUAUGCUUAAAUGAAUUUUUGCUUUCAGAGCUUAACACAUCUUAGUCAAAAAAAGAAAAAUAUGAAAAAUAAUUCUUAGCCAGCAAGACCAAUGACAAUCACACCAUCAUCUCCAUUCAUUAAUAUUUGAAUAUGUAAUAGAAGCAUAAAACUAAAGGUUAUUUUUGAACCAUAGCUAACACACUAUUCUGAAGGAUAGAACAAGUACAAUUAAAGGAGAUGAAACUUAAGCUAUAGAAGGAGAAAUUUAAAAAGCAGAUGGCUGACCUCAGUAGACAUAAGUCACAAGAUCAAGACUGACCACAUUACAGGGUCCUAAAAGAACUGGAGAUUUGAAUAACAAGAACCAUAUCAUCAAUGAGCCAUCUCUGAUAAACGGAGGACAAGAAAGGUGAACUUAAAACAGGAAAAUGUUCUCCUGACUCCUGACAAAGGAAAAUGGGUAGAUUGUUCAGGCUGAGCUUCUGAGUUUGACUUUGAUUACUGACGAAGUCCUGAAAUUUCAGCUUAAUCAGUGCUUGGUGUUUGAGCCAAUUUUAUGAGUAUUUAGAAAGGAAAGUAACCAUCCUUUUGAGCCAGAUUGUAUUCAGGUAAUUCAAGUUAUGUCAUAAUAACAUUAUUUUAUUUUUGUUGGUUAGUUGGUUGGUUGAUUGUUGUCCUUUAAUCUUGAAGAGGAUCAAAAUGAUAUCGCUAUGUUAGAGUCAAAUUACAGUGGGUCUGACUAGCUGAUUAGAUCAUUAUGAACUCAGAAUGUUCUGCCACAGGUCAGACACAAAUAAUCCAUAUGAACACUUGGAGGAGCUUCUAAUUUUGUGCAUCAUGUUUCCUUUGGUUUAAUUCAAUUCUGCUUUGCUCAUAGAGCCCAGAACCUUCUCUGAUGAGGGCUCACCAUGCUGGGCAGCUCUGUGUCAGUGUCUCCCGUGUCACACCCCAGUUCUAAAGUUGUUAAGAGAGACCUUGAGAGUGUCCUUGUAUUGCUUUUUUUCUGACCAUCUUGUCAGUGCUUGCCCUGUGCGAUUUCUCCAUAAAAUAAUUUUUGGCAAGCGUACAUUUGGCAUUUGAACAAUGUGGCCAGCCCAACAAAGUUGUGCUCUUUGCUGUAGAGUUGAAAUGCUUGGAAGUUUAGUACGAGAAAGGACCUCCGUGUCUGGUAUUUUAUUCUGCCAGGUGAUCUUAAGAAUCUUCCUAAGACAAUUCAAAUAGUUUGUAGACUAGUAGGUCAGGGAAAUGAUAUUGGCAUCUUUUUUAGUUUUUUCCUAGACAACUGGGGUUAAGUGACUUGCCCCCACAUAACUAGAAAGUAUCAAAUGUCUAAGCUGGAUUUGAACUUGGUUCCUUCUGAUUUCAGAGCUGGCACUUUAUCCACUGUACCACCUAUCUGCCCUUUCCCCUUUUGUAUGGGGGGAAGAGUAUACUGGCAUCUUUAAUGAGAACAUCUCUAAUGAUAUCCUUAGGGACAAGAUAGAAAGAUAUAGGUUGGAUAGGUGGGUUUGGAGCUGAGUAAAUGACUAGAGCCAAAGAGGAAUAUUUGAUGGAAUAACAAAAAACUUAAAAAACUCUAGGGAGGCAUCGGAUGUACUGUGUCCUUGCAAUAUAUACUUCAAUGUUAUCAGUGACUUAGAAGAUAGCAUAAAAGUCAUAUUUACCAGAUUUACAGAUAGCAUAUAGCUGUGGAGGGUAGCUAAUUUGUCAGACAACAGAAUCAAUAUCCACAGAUAUCUAAAUGGGAAAAACAAAGUCAUAGAAGGAUCAUAGAAAUUGGAACAGAAAAAGGCAUUGGAGAAAAGCAUUUUAAAAAACCAAUAUUGGGUAAUAUACCAUGGGUAGCAUACAAUAGUGAUAGACAUAGCUAGAUAUUAUUUUACAUUAAAAAAAGAUCUCUAGUUUCUAGAGAAUAAGUGCCAUAGGAGUCAGCAGUGUGAUUUGCCAACCAAAAAAAGCUAAUACUUUCUUAAACUGUAUUGACAGUUAUAUCCUUUGUAAUGAUGGGGUGAGAAUCCUGUUGCACUUUUCUUUAGAACAUUGUGUUCACUUCUAUUGUCACAUUUUAGGAAGGACAUGGACAAACCAAAGCUUUGAGGACAGAGACCAAAUGGGUGUUGCAAUUGGAGUCUGUGCUACAUGUUCAGGUUGUGGUUAUUCUGCAUCUAUUCAAUAGCCCAGCAGAUGCCCAAGGGUUCAAAUAGUCUUUUUACUAAAAACAUAUUGUGAAACUUCCAGGUAGAAACCAUUCCCAAGGUGGUUGAACAGAGAUAAAAGUGGAUCAAAGCCAACUUCGAGAAAGUUAAAAGCAGUCUUCGGAGAUUCCUAGCAGUCUCAAGAACUUUCUCCCAAAGUCCUAAAAACUAUUUUUACGCUCUUCUUGCCCUAAGAGUCUAGAGCUGGAUCCCACAUUAAUUCAUUCAAGGACAAAAUUAACCCGAACUGUUCUGGGUCCAUAGCAUCCUUUCUUUCUUCACUUGUCUUUUUACCCACAUGUUGUAGCAAAGUUGAAAGAGUCCCAUUAAAAAACCAAAAAUGAUAUCUGCAUAGGUAUGUUCCGCUUGCUGGCUAUGACUCCUAUUGCUUGUAGCCUGCACAUGGUUGGCCAAGGCCUACUUAGGACUGCUUCUAGCCCACGUGCUCCUCAUUCCUGGGGCCCAUGUGGCCCAAACAUUCCCACAGCUGCUUCUGGGUCCAGGCUCACACUGUUGUCUCCUGGCUGGGUAAGGCUUACAAACUCAGCUACCACUGUGUUCCACUAUAAGAGCUGUUGUCUGCAAGCUGGGCAUCACUACCAAGGUCACUGUCUCCCUGCUGGCAGUGCUAUUGUUUCCAGGGCACCACUGUUUUUCCCAUUAUUCUGGUGUUUCUGGCACUGCCAUUGCUGAGAGAGGUAUUAUUUUACAGGUCAGGGCACCACUGCUUUCCCCAUUAUCUUAUUUCUGCUGGUGCUAUCCAAAUGUCAUUUCACUCAUGACUACCUGGGCGGUUUUCUGAGGACCCAGGGACCACCCAGGACUAUUUUCAAAGCAAAGAUUUAAGACUCCCAAAUUCUAGUCCUGUUCCUGCAACUAAUUAGACACUUCAUCUUGGUUAUGUCAUUAAUAACACCAUAACCAUUGAAUAACACCAUUGAAUAACUUUCAAUGCACCAGAUCCCUCUCCUAUUAUCAGUUAUUUGGGUGAAGUUGAACAGAUGGUAUAAAGAUCACUCAACUCAGAGCCUGAAGCUUCAAACAAGGUCCUUUUACUAAAAACAUCUUCCAAUACCCUUAGGUGGCAUGGGGAAAAAAAAAAAAUUCAAGGAAAUCAAGAAAUAAAAGACAACUGCAAGAAGGUUAAAAGCAGCAAGAAAGGCGGUUCCUUGGGAUUUCAAGAAAUCUCCACUAAAGUUCUAAGAACUACCUUAUGCUCUGUCCAAAUUGCCAACAAGUGGAUCCCGAUUGAGCUGUUGGAGAGCGAAGUUAGCCCAAACUGCUCCAGGUCUGCACUACAACAACAUUCUCAACUAAAGAUAUGGGAGUAUGUUCAUAUGUGGGGUCUUAACUUAUAUUUCUCCAGUUCCCCCAAUAUACUGGCCCAUAAUACCACAUGAGGACUCAUUAAAAGUCUUGGGAAUAUUUAUCCUGGAGAAGUGAAGAUUUAGGAAAGAAAUGAUAGCUACUAUCAAAUACUUGAAGACAUGAGGAAGAAGGAUUAGAUUUGCUUUGCAAAUAAGCCCCAGAGGAUAAAAUGAGUUAGAAAUAAUAAAAAGAUAGAUUUUAGUUUGAUAUAAAGAAGAACUUCUUAAUCAAAGUUGCUCCAAGCUGGACUAGGACUAGGUAACGAGGUAGGUAACUAGGUAGCAAAUUCAUCAAUAGAAAUAUUCAACUAGAGAUUGGUAAGAUUUUGGCAAGUGUACUUCUGUUCACAUAUGGACUGGGCUGGGUGACCUCAGAGAUCCCUUUCUAUUGUCACAUUCUAUGUGAUGAAUAUACAUUAUACAUAAUGCAUACAAAAAUUAUAUAUAAUAUUAUAUGCAUCUCUAAUACUUAUUAUCUAUUAUAGAUGUAUGUUUUAUACAUAUAUAUAGCAAAUCCAGAAAGCCUAGACUGGUUACUCUAUAACAUGACAAUAUGACACAUUGGGAAAAUGUUGAACUAUGAGUUAGGACUCCCAGAUUCUGGUCCUGUUCCUGCAACUAGCUAGAUGCUUUACCUUGGUUAUGUCAUUAAAUCUCUCUCUGCCUCAGUUUACUCAUCUGUCAAGCAAGAAUUUAAAGAUAAAAUGAAUUUAAGUUUGAUGUAUGAGUAACAUAGGAUUUAAGUAGAACCAUAAAAGGUAGGGUCAUUAUUUAUUUUGUUUUUGUAUACUGGCUCCAAUCAUGGUGAUUAAAUAAAUGAAUGCUUGACUAGA